rnacentral:rRNA from 1 species
UACAGAGGUCCCGAGCGUUGUUCGGAUUUAUUGGGCGUAAAGAGCUCGUAGGCGGCUUGUCGCGUCGUCCGUGAAAACUUGGGGCUCAACCCCAAGCUUGCGGUCGAUACGGGCAGGCUAGAGUUCGGUAGGGGAGACUGGAAUUCCUGGUGUAGCGGUGAAAUGCGCAGAUAUCAGGAGGAACACCGGUGGCGAAGGCGGGUCUCUGGGCCGAUACUGACGCUGAGGAGCGAAAGCGUGGGGAGCGAACAGG